CUUUUAUUACACAAUUAUUCUAGGAAAUUUUCUUUGGGGAUGAUUUUUCAACUUUCAUGGUGGAUUUAAAAUUUUCUUCUAAUCAUUACACAAUUUUUAUACUCUACAGGAGCUUUACACAUUUUGACCCAGAUUGUUGCAAAGAUCUUCAAAUUCUGACAAUUCUUUAAAGAGGACAAAAUAAGACAGAAUAUCAAUGAUUUGCUCCUGGAUUGAUGGCAAUUCAUUGCGUUGUUAUAUAGCCAUCCCUUAAGGAUGGGCCUGUAUUACAAUAAGUUUUUGUUAUUUAAAUAAGUACUAAGACUAAUUACUCAGUGGAGCACUCUUCAUCAGUGGAAUCAUCUAAAAAGGUAUUAUACAUAUUUCAAUUUAUCUUUGGAAUUUUCUGUACAGCUAGUUUCCUACCCAUAAACACACAAAAUUUAAGAUUAAUAUUCAGUAAGACUUCAUUUUGGACAUAAACUGUUCCAUCUU
rnacentral:lncRNA from 1 species